rnacentral:rRNA from 1 species
UACGGGGGGAGCAAGCGUUGUUCGGAUUUACUGGGCGUAAAGGGCGCGUAGGCGGCCACCGCCAGUCAAUUGUGAAAUCUCCGGGCUUAACUCGGAAAGGUCAACUGAUACUGCGGGGCUAGAGUGCGGAAGGGGCAACUGGAAUUCUCGGUGUAGCGGUGAAAUGCGUAGAUAUCGAGAGGAACACCUGCGGCGAAGGCGGGUUGCUGGGCCGACACUGACGCUGAGGCGCGAAAGCUAGGGGAGCAAACGGG